AGACGACCUAAACUUGGAGAACCAAGGAAAAGAGCUCAUGAGUCUUCCAAGCCUCAAAACUUGCUCUUUGCUCAAAAAUCUUCAAAACAAAGUAAAAACUCAUGAAAAUCAUGAAAGAUUUGAAGAAAAGGACUCAAAAUCGGCGAGGGACGGCGGAGAACUCACCUUGGCCGAAAAUGGGGAGAAAAGCUCGCCCAUUCGGACAAGGGGACCCUUUUAUAGGUGGCUGGCCAGGCCACUUUCG
rnacentral:lncRNA from 1 species